GUUAUGGCUCAGUGGUAGAGCACUCAUCUAGAAUGAGAGAGGCCCUGGGUUUGAUCCUCAGCAUCACA
rnacentral:tRNA from 1 species